CCGACAGUUCUGUCCAUUGGUCUCAACACAGCAUUUGGAAGGCAGGUGGCACCCAUGUGGCUGCGGUGUGGCUCUGUGCGGUGUGACCAACCAGGAGAGAUGGAGAAGGCCCUGGCCGUGUCCUGGGAGUCUGGGUAUCCAGGCCAUCCAUAAGUCUGUCCUCCUUCAGUUCUUGAUUGCUGAAAGUUCCAGGGCCUGUCUCUGGGAUCUAGAAAACUUUCUGGAAAUUCUGGGGAGACUCCUGGCACAAAGAUGCUGAGGAAUCAAAGACAGACCAGAAAAGUCUGGGAGCAACAGGGACAGAGGCAGAAGACGCUGCCUGCCUGUGUCACCCAUCCCUCGCUGUCACUGAACAUGUCAAGUCUCACUCACCAAGCUCCCGAAGCCUUCCAGCUCCAAGACCUGGUUCACUGUCACCCUCUCCUCCCAGUUCCUGGGCCCACGGCAGGUGUUAGUCUUCUCUCCAUGCCAGCCAAAACAGGAUAAAGUUGCCCAGGAGCCUUCUGGAACUGAGUACAGAGCAGCCCCCAGGGAUGGACAGAGCAUUGCUCAGCUCCCACCUUCUCUGCAUCAGGCCCAGGAUGUCCAACCCACUUUGCUAGGGCUAGGGGCUCCCCUAGGCCUGCCUCAGCUCCUUUCGUCCCUGACCUGGACUAGAUUCUGACCUCAAGACUACCCCGUCCUUCUCCAAGUAUCUCAGUGCCUCUCUUGGGUUCAGGUCUAUAGAGAAAGCUCCUCGAUGCCAGCCACCUUGGCUACUUCCAUCCUGCUGAUGCCAGCCACCCUGGCUACUUCCAUCCUGUGACACUGCUCAGCUUUUCUACCUGAAGCUUGGAGUCUCCACUGCUGCCCUGCAGUCAUUAACCGCAGGGACCACGAAACACUUACAUCCUCGAGUGCCAGGACAGCCACCAAGAGUCAAGCAUUUCAAGCAAAGCAGAGGCUGUGAACUGCCCUCUGCUUCUUUGCAGAGCCAGGAGCAGCUGCAGAGAGCAGAGGACACUCACCUGCCAGCUCACAGGCUGUUCGGCUUGUUUCUCUGUUGCUGCAGAAAUCGCUAACCAAAAGCAAGCUGCAGAGGGAAGGGUUUAUUUCCAAAUGAUACACUUCCAAAUGAUACUCCAUCACAGAGGGAAAGCUGAGACAGAACUGGAGUAAAGACCUGGAGCAACGA